ACCCCCAAAUCUCCACCUUCAUCCUGAUCGUCUCCUAAAAGGUCGUAUCCUCCGAUCGUAGCUGAUCGUAACCAUUCAAGUUAACGUGUCGAUUUACACCGACUUCUUUCCGUUCCUCUGCGGAUCGCCGGACUCCUCAGCUGAUCACAAGAGUUCUAUUUUUUCUGGACGCCGGAGCAUGGCGGAUAAAUUCAGCACAGAUUAACCCGUGCUGGAAAGGAAGUCGGGCACAGACACAAAAUAAAACAUCCGGAGACGAACAAGUGAAAGGUUUUUAGACGUCAUUUCACCCCGAUGACACCAUGGAUGAGGAGAUGCUGAUUCUAGAAGUCUAGAAGUAGAUUUCCUCCUCUGGAAGGACACAAUCUACUGCUUAUAUGUCUAUGUGUCUGUCUUUACAGAGACAACUCGUUAUCGCGCGAUUGAACGUGAAUCCGCAGGUUCUUGUGAGUUCUCC
rnacentral:lncRNA from 1 species